GACGAACGCUGGCGGCGUGCUUAACACAUGCAAGUCGAACGGAAAGGCCCUGCUUUUGUGGGGUGCUCGAGUGGCGAACGGGGGAGUAACACGUGAGUAACCUGCCCUUGACUUUGGGAUAACUUCAGGAAACUGGGGCUAAUACCGGAUAGGAGCUCCUGCUGCAUGGGGGGGGAUGGAAAGUGUCGGCGGUUGGGGAUGGACUCGCGGCUUAUCAGCUUGUUGGUGGGGUAGUGGCUUACAAAGGCUUUGACGGGUAGCCUGCCUGGGAGGCGGGCCGGCCACCAUGGUACUGAGGUACGGACCAGUCUCCUACGGGAGGCAGCAGGGGGGAAUAUUGCACAGCGAGCGGAAGCCUGAUACAGCAGCGCCGCGUGCGGGAUACCGGCCUUCGGGUUGUAAACCGCUUUCGCCUGUGACGAAGCGUGAGUGACGGUACUGGGUAAAGAAGCACCGGCUAACUACGUG
rnacentral:rRNA from 1 species